rnacentral:rRNA from 1 species
UACAGAGGGGGCAAGCGUUGUUCGGAAUUACUGGGCGUAAAGGGCGCGUAGGCGGCCUGCUAAGUCGAACGUGAAAUCCCCGGGCUCAACCCGGGAACUGCGUCCGAUACUGGCAGGCUUGAAUCCGGGAGAGGGAUGCGGAAUUCCAGGUGUAGCGGUGAAAUGCGUAGAUAUCUGGAGGAACACCGGUGGCGAAGGCGGUUCUCUGGGCCUGUACUGACGCUGAGGAGCGAAAGCGUGGGGAGCGAACAGG